ACACGUACCGGGGCCUGCUGGAGAGCGAGGACUGCAAGCUUCCUCGCAACCCGUGUGCCACCACCAAUGCUAGUAGCAGCUACUGCGGGCCCUGUGGCAGCUCUCAAAAGCGUCUCUGUUAAUUUAAAAACUUGCACCCUCUUUGAAGAUGACAAUGAAGCCGUUUAGAUCAAGGACAGGAAAGGUCCCCAGGUCCUGCUUUUGCUAAGCUCAGUUGCCAUUUAGAAACAUUGUCGUGCCAACUGUGAUAUUUCUAGACAUGGAAAUGCUUCCAGACCCAACAAGCAAAGACACGCAUCAUCAACUCCCAAUGUCUGGCAAACUCCUUCCUGUUGAAGGUUGAGUUUCUUUGUUUCUGCAGAUGUCCAGCUCCCUGCAAUCUGAGCUCCAGGGUUUCCUUUAGGCUGUUUCCUGUACUUAUUGUGUUUCCUGCUUUCCUUGCUUCUUCAGUGUUCUCUGGAAGGCAAGGAGGCCACUUCAUUUACUUCCCAAUAAACUUUACUUCUCUGGCAUAGUAAA